CAAUUUGAAAUUCAUUCAUUUCAUUCGUUCAUUUUUAAUUAUUUACACAGGGUAAAGCCAUCAACUACAUACAUAAAUUGCUUUCCAAGCUGCCCUGUACAAAGGAAACGAUAAACGCUAAAAUUUAAAAUACAGAUAUAUAAAUAUACAGAUUAGAAUAACAAAGUAAAAGCUAUUAAAAUACUGGAACUAGCGCCAGGGAUAAAAAGGGUCCCUUUAUGUUCUGGAGUUUUCGAGAUAACAUUUUACUUGUUUGAAAUGUUUUGUUGAUUUAGAUUUUGCGUCCAGGCCAUUCCAUAGUUUUGCCCCUCUAAAAGAAUUGCAUUUUUGGCCACAUGCUGUUCGUAGAAACGGGACACAAAGAUCGGUUUCGGUGUUUAGAAAGGUACGAAAUCUGUUCAGAAUGAUCAUGAAAGUUAAAGAGAACUUAUCAACGAAAUUAUUUUUGUUGGUCAAAUUGCUUUGCAAAUCGAUUUUCAGUUCUCAUCAAUAUUUACUUUUGCCUUGCAUGUAGUUAUCAAGAGAUGCUUGAAACCUAUAUUUUAUUAGCAUUCAAAAUAUUUAUAUGAAUUAAUAUUCCUCUGAAAUCAAUUUCUUGAAAAGGGCACUUUGCUGCCCCCGUGAUGUCCCCGCACCACUAGGGCGCCGCCAUGGCAACCUACCCGCGUGAGACACAAGUCUUUGUUUUUAACAAUGCAUGAGUGAUACUUGAGUGAUACAAGAGACGCGCGCGCAUAGUACCUGUCAGAGGAACCACCUGUUUUGGUUUCUGAGAAGUAAGAAUUUGCUCAUAGGAAGUCUAAAUUUGACGUUGGAAGUGCCAUUCACGUGGCCUUUAUACAAAAGAGUUGUUAAUCUGCUUCACCAGAAGGCAAUUUCUAAUAAUAUUACUGAAUAUUUCGUAAUCUAUUUAAUAAUACACAGGAAUUAUUGUCCAAGUGUACAAGCUGUGGUUUUAGGGGCAGCGGGGAGACAGCGGGUGUUAGGGAUACACUUUGUUUUACAUAAGCAACCAGUUGAUAAGCAAUCAGGUGUGAGCUAGAUAAAAUUUUAGCAACUUGAGGGCUCGUCGACAAAGCUGUAACUUCAAUUUUUAAUUUCUUCAAUUAAAAAGUUUGAGAAAAAUCAAUUAUCUAACAUUCAUGUCGCAUUUUGUUAUCGUUUCUUGCUACCUUGGAUUCCUUAUGACACAUGAAUUUAUUUGUGACAACAUUGAAAAGAUUCUUUCAAAACUAAGUUCAAGUUUACUUAUUAAGUGGGCUGGUACCUGUUUUUCCGCGUGAAGAAAGUUUAGCCGGUCAUAAGAAGCUUCGAGGGAUGAAACCGCAGAUAAUUUAAGCAUCUUUUGUUUUUUAUAAAAAAUGCAAAUCACCAUAGCAUAUCUUUCAUUCUAACAAUGAUUCUGAAGCUUGUAAUCUUAUUUCUGGCAGUUUCAAGUUUUCUUAUCACCUGUUGUACGUCGUUGUCAUGUUUAAAAAUCACAGGGAAUACAGAUCUAGAAUUAUUGAAACUUAACCAAAUACUGCAUAUAGUAAAAGAUGAAUGUUUUCAAGAAAAAAGAAUUCAUCUAGCUUGAAAUUUUGAAAUCUUUUUAGAUAAAUUUACUUCUCCAAAAUGACCUGACAAAACUUGGAAAAUCCCGAGAAUCGAUUCUUCUGACUGGUUCCUACUAAAAAUUCCGUAGAUUACUUUAUUUCACUUUCAAGAAACUUUCACUACAAAUUCAGGAGAUUUUACACACUUCAGUUAGGCUUCAUUAGGCUUCUGAAGGAUGUACAAGCAAACGAGGAAGGAAAUUAUGCCAAUCAAGUGACAGGGGAACUACCCUAGGUACCAGACUCACUCUAUAUAAAAUUUUAUAUAAAGUGAAUCUGGUACCCAGGGUGGUAUGCAGUGGUGGACCUUGACCUUCUUGACCACACGUGAUGUACAUUAAAAAAAUUACUGCCCCUAUCUUAGCUACCCCCAAAAACAAAUAGUUGUACUGAAAAACUAACAGAGGCAGACGAAGGAAGAAUUUCAAAGUGUUGAGGGUAAAUUUAGGCAAACUGUCAAUAGCUACUUCAUCUCCGUUUCUGAAAAGUUGGGGGCGGGGGGUGGGCAUGUGUUCCCCUGUGACUUUGGGUUCUGUGCCUAUGUCUUCAGAUACACCUCGGACCGUUGGAAUGUUGCUCAACAAGCUUUUGGUCUUUUAUGUGAAAAACAAGAGCAUUCCUGUACUGCAAAACGCCGAACUGUUUUAACGUGCAUUCAUAAUUGGCAAAGAACACCAGGGGGGGGGGGGAUGAUCAAGAAAAUCCUCCUAAAAUCUUUAAAAAUCUUUUUGUUUUAAAAAGUCUAAUUUGCAGUUUGUAGGAACGAUAUACUCUUCAAAGGAUACUUGACAAACGAAAAAGAUACUUGAAAGUGAUGAGGUCUAGUCACUGUCACUUUUCAAAUCGAUUCAAGAAAGUCGGAGAGAGUUCGAAUGCAAGCACGUUUAUAACCUACAAUUGUUUCUCCAUCAAGCAUUUUCCAUAAGCUUAAACAAAACAGUUUAAACGCUGAUGUUCAAGAAUAUGAAAUUACAGCUUUCUGAGCGAAGAAAUACCAAAAAUGAUUAUCUAGAAACACGAAAAAAUAAAAAUGAUAAAAACAUGUAAAAAGAUGGGGUUGGUAAGAAAACUUUGGUAAGAAAGUUACAAUGGCUGCAUUGGUUAAAUAUGCAGAAAAUCAGUGAAGCAGAACGUUAUAUAUGUGUCUGGUCUAUCUAACUAAACAAAAUAUGUACUAAAAGACGACAAACGGCUGCAAAUUAUGACAAAACAAAAAAGAUAAAUGCAGAUUGGUAAAAUUCUUGUAAAACACAGCAUUCGAGUGAGUGAGAUCACUGAGUUUUUGCGACUCAGGCUACGAGAUUACCGGAUGAAUGACUCGAGCUAAUAUUUAUUUCUGAGAAAACUUAUUUUGCCGGGAACAAUAAGUUCACCGCAAUGAGACCUGCAGGGACAGAUGUGGCCUGCCGCCCAGCAGCGCAGACGUGUAGCCGACACUCGUAACCAGACGGUAAAGAAAAGACCGUUCUUCUCCAGUUUGGAAGGCAAAAAGCUCAAUAUUCGUCAGAUUUGAAAUGACUGGUCACUUAACAGGACAAGUUGGUGGGCACGUCCCAAAUGUGCAUAGAAAAAAGAUCGAGACAGUUGAAGACUGUAUGCAGCUAAUGCAACAUAUUUCGUUUUGUGAAUCUUCAGCAUGCACUGUUAAAGGGUGCCAAAGAAUGAAGAAAGUUUUAUGGCACGCGAAGAACUGCAAGAGAAAGAUGCAAUGCAAACUAUGCAGACAAGUUAUUCGGAUUUGCGUUUUGCAUGCUAGAGCAUGCCUUACUCCAAACUGCAAAGUCGUAUUCUGUAGUAUGAUUCGUGCACGAAUGGUACAACGACAGAGGAGUCUGGCAACUGGCGCUGCAACCCAGACCUCCUCAUCUCAAUUAAAUGAGAUAACUCACAACAUGGUAAACGCUGCCAGUCAAACCACCCAUCAGACCCGAAAUUUUUUCUUUCAACCACAACAAAAUCUACCUCCAAUGCAACGGUCCUUUUCUGCUGGUCCCGAGCCAAUUGCCACUGCAAAUUUGGUGCUGAUCAGUCGAUCGACGUCCCUGAACACGAACGAUUGCAUUGCACCCGAGACUGUAGGUUCAGAAGGAGGUCUUUUUCUGACAGAGAAUCCUGUACUAAAUGCCAGACAGGGUUUCAGGUUUGAGAAAGAUCUAUCAGUGAAGUACAGUAGAAUGGACAUUUCCAAACAAUGACAUCACAAGGUUCAAACCAAGUGGAAUGUGAACAGGCAGGGUUUUAGGUUUGAGAAAGAUCUAUCAGUGAAGUACAGUAGAAUGGACAUUUCCAAACAAUGACAUCACAAGGUUCAAACACAAGUGGAAUGUGAACAGACAGGGUUUCAGGUUUGAGAAAGAUCUUUCAGUGAAGUACAGCAGAAUGGACAUUUCCAAACAAUGACAUCACAAGGUUCAAACCAAGUGGAAUGUGAACAGGCUGCUUCAUGCACUAGCUCCAAUAUCCUUUAACUAGAUUAAUCUAGAAAUUCGAGAAACCUUUUCUUAUGUCAAACGAGUCUUUAAAUGACGUCAAGAUAUUCUUAAGAUCGCGUGGUUCAAUCUUUUGCCACUCUCAAUGUCCCAACUCAUCAACUUCUGUCCCAAAUCAUCCACUACUGACGAUGCAUUAUUGCAAAGAUACACAUCAAAAUCGCAAGCUUUAUUCAAAAGUUUUGAAUUUAUUCUUUAGUGUCAGGAUAGCUAAGCAAACAGUUGGCAGUGGACUAGAGAAAUUCCAUUGAAGAAAACUAUAAAUGGCUUCAAGGCUUUAGGCCAAACGCACAGAAUCCUCACCCCGUCUCUUUCUAGCAUAAUAAAAGCUUUCCACAUCACAUUACAUUCCCUACUUGAUCUGAUACCUAAACUUUAAAAUCUUACACGUUUUUAUUUUAGAAAAGCAUAUUGCAUUUGGCUUUAAGUUUUGCAUUGUAUAUAUUUUUACUUGUUAUAUGUUACUUCAUUAAACGCCAUUAAAUGAUUGAUAAA